rnacentral:tRNA from 1 species
GGGGCCGUAGCUCAGUUGGGAGAGCGCUUCAAUCGCACUGAAGAGGCAGUGGGUUCGAAUCCCAUCGGCUCCAC